rnacentral:lncRNA from 1 species
UGAAAAGUCUGAGCAUGCGCACUUUUGCCGCUUGAUUUUUGAAAACAGUGAGGAAUUUGCAGUGGAAAUUUAGCUUGAUCCAGAUUCCAGAACAAAGAAAAAGGUAAAAUAAUGAUUGCACAUUACACCAAAUAGGUUCUCCAUGAUAAAAACAAGUUUGAUUGAUGAAAAUAAAACAGCUGUUACCGUGUUGGGCGCCUCUUUCAAGUCUGUUAUACGUGAUCGUGUUGAAAUAUGAUACUUUUUCUUAUACUGUCAAUAUAUUGCACUGAUACAAGAUAUUUUAGCCAUAAUGUGUGUUAUUUGAAUCCAUUUAUCAAAAUUGCUUGAUUAACUUGUGUUGUUUCUGAAGAUAUAUGCAAUUAAAAAUAAGUAAUAACUGUAGAAAGUAAAAAAAAGGGGGAGGGGUGCACAGCCACAAGUACUUGUUUUCUAUCUGUGACAAGAGCUACUAUCCCUAUAUAUUAAGGCUACAAGUGUCUUUUGCUCUGUUAUUUUUUGAUAAUCAUUGAAGCAUAAAAGUCUUAUCCAUGUUAUCAAUAUCAGAAAAUGUGAAGCUAAACAUCUCAGCACUUUAGAUAUCUGGGUCCAUUACAAACUCCGCACAUUUCAAACUUGGCAUAUUACCAACUCGGCCUAUUAAUGAUAAUGCUGCAUAUAUCACUGGGGGUCGUCGCUAACAUGCAUGAAAUAUUUGCCACUGGAUGUUGAGCAACAAACGAUCAAUCAUUGUAUCACUGGGUCUGACAUGGAAAUAGACAAUUGUGCCAAUAAAGAUGUUGUAAAAUAUAGGCGUCACAGAAAAAAAUUAAGAUAGCCAUCAAACGGUUGUCGUAAUAGGAUUAGGUCGUUGUAGGAAGGCGUCCCAGAAAAAAAUAAAAAAACAGCCUUCCAAGUCUUGAAAGUGUCAUAAUGAUUUAGACUAGGAUCUAGCCUUGAAAGUUGGGUAAAAUUUUCUUGUUUUCAGGGUAAAACCCAGUUUACAGGUGUUAAAAACAGUACAUAGGGACAUCUUUUUUGCUGUACAAUUUAUAGUAUGAAAUCUACAUGUUUAUCAAUGACGAGCUACAUGUACAAUCACUAAAUAUGUGAUCAGAAACAAUGUUGUAAUCAAUCAUAAAACAUAUGAAUUUUGGAAUGCAUUUAAAUUUGUCACUUUGUUCUCCUAAAGAUUUGUUGGACUAACAUUUUUUUUUAUAUAAAUAAGGCGGUGAAUUUUCUCGUUUGAAUUGUUUCACAUUGUCAUUUCGGGCCUUUCAUAGCUGGCUAUGCGGUAUGGGCUUUGCUCAUUGUUGAAGGCCGUACGGUUACCUAUAAAUGUUAAUUUCUGUGUCAUUUUGGUCUCUUGUAAAGAGUUGUCUCAUUGGCAAUCAUACCACAUCUUCUUUUUUAUAUGAAACAGACAGAAGAAUAUAAAAGAUAAUUGAACGUAUUUUUAAUUUUUUUUCCAGAGUCUUGUAUAUAAAUCCACAGAUCCAAUGUGUCUGAGGUUGAGGAAAUCAUUGCAGUAACCAUGUAACAGUUAAGCAUGCACCAGCUCAAAAAUUUGGACCAAGAUUUUAAAAAGGUAAACAUCAGUUGAUCAGCUCUUUUUCUGUCCUCCUUAACUGAGUGAUAUAGUUUAACUCUUGUACUGUACGUACAUACAUGUACAUUGAACUCAAAAUUGGAUUUUGUUAUCUAACGUUUGCCUAAACCACAUGUUAUGCAACCAAUACACAACGCUUAUUAUCAUAAAACGCAGAGUUUGAAUUUGGAGAGCAUCUGCUUUACUGUUCUCUAGAUAUGUCCUUUAAAUUAAGUUUGAUAAGAUCAUUUGUGGCUCAUGGACACAUUCUUCUUAUAUUAAUUUUAUUUAUCAAAUUAUAAUUUGUUGAUUUUAUAGAUUGCGUUCAUUGGCAUAUGCUAUGAGGUCUUGUUGUAUCGAUGUACAUGCUAAAUUUAUUAAGGUAGAAUCCUUUGCAUAUCUUAAAUUAAUUGAAAAAUGACAAUAUUGUGAAACCAAACUUCCUUUAUUAAUUAUUUGGACUCAUUAUUAUUUGUAGAAUAACCACUGGUUGCUCCAGAAAAUAUUAUGUCCCCUCUCCCCCAGGGAAAGAAAUACCAAAAUCUUUUCUUAAAUUUUUAUUUGGGGGUGGUUGUGUAUGAAAUAACAACAAAAUGCAAAGUGAAUCUGAAAGUUAUAAUUAUGAAUCUGCAGCAGCAAUAGAAAAAAUAUUGAUUAUGUUUAAACACAGGAUAAUUUUUAAGAACUGCUGUAAUUCAUAAGUUGGGAUCAAUUUAUUUUUUUGUAUUUUAUAAUUUAUGAUUUUUUUUUCAGAGAUCUGAAACCAACACAAGACCAGCUGGGUCAAUAUUCCUAAUGCGCCUCCAAAUGAGGAACUAAUGCGCCAUCAAAUGAGGAACACAAAAGUUGUGUGUAAACAAAAAUUGUCUCUGUAGUGAUAUUGAACAUGUUUCAUUUUUAACAAGUGACUGAGCUUUACCAUUUGUGUUGAUCUGGAAAGUAGAGGAUCAUAGUAUAAAUAUGUAAAAACUAUGGAGUUUUUUAAUGUAUUCAAAGUUUUAAAUUUUCAAAGAAAUUGUUGU